GUGCCAGGCCGCCGCGGUAAUACCGGCAGCCCGAGUGAUGACCGAUCUUAUUGGGCCUAAAGCGUCCGUAGCUGGCUGCGCAAGUCCGUCGGGAAAUCCACCCGCUUAACGGGUGGGCGUCCGGCGGAAACUGCUCGGCUUGGGACCGGAGGACCCGAGGGGUACGUCCGGGGUAGGAGUGAAAUCCCGUAAUCCCGGACGGACCGCCGGUGGCGAAAGCGCCUCGGGAGGACGGAUCCGACGGUGAGGGACGAAAGCUAGGGUCUCGAACCGGAUUAGAAACCCCGGUAGUCC
rnacentral:rRNA from 1 species